GGGGCUGUAGCUCAGUGGUAGAGCAUCUGCCUGACAUGCAGAAAGUUCCAGGUUCACUCCCUGGUAUCUCCA